rnacentral:lncRNA from 1 species
UACAGUUCUUCUUUAUCCUGGCGUGCUUUAAAAUAUAUGACGUCGCAAAGUAAAGGCAGAGAAGCACAAAACAAUCCAAUUAUUUGUCGCAGACACUCAGGCGUGCAUGGUCCACGGUUCAAUGAACGAAUCGACGCUGAAAAACAUCGAGAACAAGUAGCGGUUUUCGCAUACAAGUAAAUCAUUAGUACAUCCCUGGCAAAGAUGCGCGUGGGUUGCGGAUCGCACGUGUUCGCGAAUUUUCGAUGGCCGCGUCGCGGCCUCGUAAACAGCUUCUUGCCUCGUGAUACGGCGCGUUCCCGGUGGCUGCGGGCCGUUUUAGAAACUAUAAUGGAUUAUGGAAGGCGGCCCUCUCUUUCUCUCUCUCUCUCUCUCUCUCUCUCUCUCUCUCUCUCUCUCUCUCUCUCUCUCUCUCUCUCUCUCUGGCCCGGCUGGUGGUUGGUUGCACAGGCAGCAAGGAGGGCUUCCGUACCCGCUGAAAGAUCUAUGGCGGGGCGGUAGAUAAGCUAUGCUUCAUAAGCAGAGAUGUUAUCUUCAUAAAAGCCGCAGGUCGAUGCCUUCUUCCGCCGUAUACCACGGUAGUCGGCGGUCGUAUCGCGCCGCGUUAUGUACGGCUUGUACAUCACGAGAUAUACUGUAUGUUGCGUAUACCUGUAUAGCCUAUAUAUACCCCCCGGUAUACGGAUGCGCGUGCAUGCCGGAUAAACAGAACGCUGAUGGAUCUUCUUAAGCGAGACGAAAUUGAUUUUUGUACGAGAAAUAUUUAUUUUCCGUGCGUGGUUCGUAUAUUUGUUUGAGUCGAGGACGUCAAUUUAGAAAUAUGUCGCCCGGGAAGAUAUUACGCGCUUUGAGCAACCUUUCAAGCGCGUCUCGUGUAUCAGAUGAAAAAGUAAGUCCACUCCCUUCGCGCGAUCGUAGUUCACUUCGUCUAAUAAAGUGAGGUAUUAGCUAAUCUUUCACUGGAUUCUUUCAGUUUCGCCAUGCGAUUCUUCCUUCUCUAUUGCCGCAACUGCGCCGGCGUCCGCCGCGGCAGUAUUAUUUGUCGCACGUGCCGCGCGAUGUAAUAAAAAAAGUUUUUGCAAUUUCCAACCUGUGGCGUCCUUUAUCCCGAUCCCCGACCCUACCGUAAGCACGUAACGCGAGUAUUUCGUCGAGCUCUCACUCAGACGGUCUCCUUUUUGCGCCGCGGCGCAACCGACGACCGCGUCAAAAAGCGUCGGGUACAGUUUCUUGGACAGGGUCCAACGGUCGGACGGAGAAAUUGGUUUCAGCGCGAAACCGCGAAGCUCACAGUAAAUAGUCGUAUUUAAAGAAAAAGCUGAGCAGCGAUAAACGAACGACGUUGUGCGGAGCGGCUCCUACGCAAACUGUCCUCUUAGCCGCCUUGGCUUGCUCAGAAGCGCCAGUGAAAUUUUAAUAGAUGAGAAUUUUUCGCAUCGCCGGAACUUUUAAUGAACCGCAAGCCUUCGCCGCACCUGAAAAUGCCGACGCGCGUACUAUGUUUAUUCCCGAGUGAUCAAUACUGGAUGCAAUGGCCGAGUCACUAGGAGUCAGAAUCGAUAUCCUAUCGUGCUUUUACUGCAGAUCCGGUAAUAUCUCCGACGCGUUUUUCACAAACGCAAUAAUGCGAAUUCGAUAACGUCGAAGAAAACCAGCACGGAUUACAUAUGUCUGCGUAUAGCUCGCGCUUUUGCAUUGUAAUACUAUCAAUCAUUUUAUUGGACACACUAUUUAAAUUGUAGAGUACAUGUUACAAUAACAAUUAUAAUGAAACUAUAUAAAAAAUGCUGCAAAAUUGAUACAGCGUCACACCUCAAAUAGCUAGCGUUAAGUAAUUUUUCUUUGAAACAUGCACUUGUGUAUAACAAAGAAGCGAAAAAAAGAAGAAGGAAUAUUUUUUUCUUAACUAAAAUAAACUUAAUUUAAAGGUUAAUACCAUUAUAGUUUUCCACUAAUAAAUAUCGCACAUUUACGGAGAUAGAUUUAAUUUUGGUCUAGCUUUAAUAUAAAAAAUCUAAUUUAUCUAUUUCUGUUACACAUUAUACAACUUCCACGUUAGCAAUUAAUGUAAUUACGUUUCCUGUUGCAUGUAUGCGUUAUUAUUAAUUAUUAGCAAUUAAUGCAGCUCGUAAUAUUUCUAUUGAAUGACUGGAAAAUGAUUCGGGGUGAUACAAAACAUUUGAAAUACUAUAAACAUUGACAAGUAAUUAAUUACAAUCAAUACGUUAGCCUGCAAAUAUGUAACAUUCGAUGCACAAUAUGUGUCUCCCUGACGCAACAACAUUACGAGUUAUGACAGCAAUCUAUUCAUUCGCGAUUCACUCGCUUUCUCCGAGGUUUUUUGAGGAAAAGAGGGAAGGGGAACAUAGUUUAAUCCCGCUAUGAAUGUGUAAUUAAAAUUUGCGCAAGCUUGCGGUUAUUACGUGGAGAAUCCGCCGACACGUAAAAUCAUGCAAAAUGUCCAGCGUAAAAGCUUCGCCGUCAACUCGUCUCCGAACAGCGCACAGUUAAUGCACUGGAAGUGAAAUAGCAGCUGUUCCAAUUUGAAUUUCGGGAGGAAUACGAGCGCUAGGAAACAAACGUCGUUAACGUUUAUUUAUGAUAACAAAAAGAAAGGACGACAUGCCCGAUAAAUGCAUGCUGAUUAAAUCGUUGAUUAAAAACUUUAGGCAUGGCGGCUCGUUGUGUCCUACGAAAAAUUGCAAUUUGGAAUAAAUGAAGCAAAUAUAUAUGAAAAAAUAUAUAGGAAAAAAA